CCAAGAUGGGCAGAACACGAAAACAGGAAGAGGAACCCCAGUUUCUAUGGCAACGAGCGUUGCCGUGUGUGUCAGCUUUGGAAGGCUCGUGUGUGAGAACGCUUGGAUAUUUUCUGCAGUCUGCAGACAACCGCAGACUGACAGUGACGUUCCAGCCUCUCCUCUUUCUCUGCUGGAUUCCUCUCUGCUGCGCCAGUGGCACAAACCGGCUCAUAAUGAAAGCGUGACCACAUAUAUGAGGACUUCCUGAAACCUGGAGUAAGGUUUGUAGUAUGACUGUAAAACGUGAACAUUUUGAGGGAAUUUGAAAAGCCUUGUGAGGAUAUUUUCCAAAG